AUAUUGGCGAGAGACCGAUAGCGAACAAGUACCGUGAGGGAAAGAUGAAAAGAACUUUGGAAAGAGAGUUAAACAGUACGUGAAAUUGCUGAAAGGGAAACGCUUGAAGUCAGUCGCGUCUGCCAGGGAUCAACCUUACUUUUGUGAGGCGUACUUCCUGGUUGAUGGGUCAGCAUCAGUUUUGGUCGCUGGAUAAAGGUCAGAGAAAUGUGGCACCUUCGGGUGUGUUAUAGUCUUUGAUCAGAUACAGUGGCUGGGACUGAGGAACUCAGCGCCGCAAGGCUGUCUUAGGAUGCUGGCAAAAUGGCUUUAAUCGACCCGUCUUGAAACACGGACC
rnacentral:rRNA from 1 species